UGCGUAGGCGGUCGGCUAAGUCUGAUGUGAAAUCUCCGGGCUCAACCCGGAAACUGCAUCGGAAACUAGUCGGCUAGAGGAUUGGAGGGGGGACUGGAAUUCUCGGUGUAGCAGUGAAAUGCGUAGAUAUCGAGAGGAACACCAGUGGCGAAGGCGAGUCCCUGGACAAUUCCUGACGCUGAGGCACGAAAGCUAGGGGAGCAAACA
rnacentral:rRNA from 1 species